rnacentral:tRNA from 1 species
GGCUAGAAAACAUAAUGGUUUUGUAUAAGAUUGCAAAUCUUUUUUUUAUUGGUUCGAAUCCAAUUCUAGCUU